UUUCCGUAGGUGAACCUGCGGAAGGAUCAUUCAUAAUAAAGUGUUUUAUGGCACUUUUUAAAAAUCCAUACCCACCUUGUGUGCAAUGUUAGAUCUCGUCAAUCUUGGCGAGAUUUUUAUACAUCAACUCAUUCUUUAACUAAUUUGUCUGAAAAAUAUUAUGAAUACUUAAUUCAAAAUACAACUUUCAACAACGGAUCUCUUGGCUCUC
rnacentral:misc_RNA from 1 species